GUCUGGACGAUCGAACAAGGGAGCAGGGCAAGGUGAAACCCUAGUUUCACCAAAUCCAUCAAAUUCAGUAGGGAUUUCAAGGAAAAUCGAAUGCAUGAGCCUCUAUUCUUGAACAUCUAACCUUGUUAAUUGAUGUGGAUCGUGUCAAUAUGGGGGAAAGCACGGAAGGUUAACGGAACGAGGAAGAGGAAGCAUGUACGAAACGGACACUCGAGGUUAUACGAAUCACGAAUUAUCAUCACGAGGAUUAGUGAUCAAAGACCGAGUCACAAGAUAGAUUGUACGGGAAUGUUGGAGUAUGUAGUUUGGUAAAUACAAGUGAUGC